AGGGAUCAUUACAGAGACUCUGCCCUUUGGGUAGACCUCCCACCCUGUGUCGUUAUACCUUCGUUGCUUUGGCGGGCCGCGGGGCCCCGGCCCCGCCCCUGGCUCCGGCUAGGGCGCGCCCGCCAGAGGACCUCAAAACCUGAAUGUUAGUGUCGUCUGAGUACUAUAUAAUAGUUAAAACUUUCAACAACGGAUCUCUUGGUUCUGGCAUCGAUGAAGAACGCAGCGAAAUGCGAUAAGUAAUGUGAAUUGCAGAAUUCAGUGAAUCAUCGAAUCUUUGAACGCACAUUGCGCCCCUUGGUAUUCCGGGGGGCAUGCCUGUUCGAGCGUCAUUACAACCCUCAAGCUCUGCUUGGUCUUGGGCGUCACCGGUCCCGGUGUGCCUUAAAAUCAGUGGCGGCGCCAUCUGGCUCUAAGCGUAGUACAUACUCUCGCUACAGACGUCCGGUGGAUGCUGGCCAGCAACCCCCAACUUAUCAAGGUUGACCUCGGAUCAGGUAGGGAUACCCGCUGAACUUAA
rnacentral:misc_RNA from 1 species